UAUGCAUAUAAGGUAUUUGUGGAAAAUCCAAACUCUGCAGGAGUAUGAAAUAGCCGCGACCAUGAGGCUGUGCUUUUUUGCUUCAGAGAAAUGCUGACCGGAUCCAACAUCGAGCCGAGCUGGGUUGACCUCCAAACACCGAUGCAUCGCAGGAGAGGACCGACGUGAGUUUUUCCUUUUCCAGUCGAUCAUUUUUAGGCACCAUUCCCCCCAGAUUUUGAGUUCUAAUCACUUUUCGAUGAACGCCUAAUUUUCUUUCAUUUUGGGUUCAGAUGUAGCAUAUUUUCCCAUCUACCAACUCAUUCAUCUAUUCCAUUAUUUAUCUGUAGAUUGUCUGCUCUUUUUUUGUCCCGAACAUGGGUCUCGACUGCUGAAUUGUUUGAAAUAUGCCUACUGGAUUAUGACCCUGCUUCAAAUUAUGGUCAUCAGACAUAUAGAGCAGGUGUUCGCAAUGAUUCACGACAAUACCGGUACUUCAACAUCCCCAAACAAGUAAGCAGCUGUUGCUGUUGGUUAUGAUUAAAUAUGUGAGCAGAGUAAUUUGGAGGGCGCCAGAUUUGUCCCCAAGGCGCAUCAUUGUGGUGGAGCGGUGAAAACUCCCCAUAGGUUGCACAUAGCAAGAAUUGUUGCGGAGGUUGUCAGAGCUGCUGAAUCGCAGCGGAUCCUUAUUUUUUGGGGUUUAGCUUUGAGUCUUUCUCUGGCUCUAAGCUAGAGCGUUUUGCUUGCUGUUGCACUUAAAAAGUAAGAAGCCUAUAAAAAAUGGGUCUCGCAAUUGAAUUUACACUGCAACUGAAUUGGGCUCUUCUGUUUUUGCGAUUUCUAUAGAUACUUCGGGUCUUUUUAUUUAGGAUGUUGUCCUCAUCGGUGCAAGUUUUGGAAUUUUGGCGAUGUCUUGAUUAACACAGCCGUACUAACUUGGGAUACACUGUUGUGCUGGACCUUUAUUCUGGUGUUCAUUCUGUUAAGGCACAUUAGUAAAUAUUUGUUGCUCGCAAGGGUACUGUGACUGUUUGUUAUCUCAUCUUUAAAAGAUUCAAGGCCAUCGGGCGAUAUGUCAUUGAUUUUAUAUUCUCAUGACUGAAACUAGAAACCUUUUAUAGGACGACAACAAUGUGUCCUUCACUUCGGUACCAAAGAUU